AUUGAACGCUGGCGGCAGGCCUAACACAUGCAAGUCGAACGGUAACAGGAAGAAGCUUGCUUCUUUGCUGACGAGUGGCGGACGGGUGAGUAAUGUCUGGGAAACUGCCUGAUGGAGGGGGAUAACUACUGGAAACGGUAGCUAAUACCGCAUAACGUCGCAAAACCAAAGAGGGGGACCUUCGGGCCUCUUGCCAUCGGAUGUGCCCAGAUGGGAUUAGCUAGUAGGUGGGGUAACGGCUCACCUAGGCGACGAUCCCUAGCUGGUCUGAGAGGAUGACCAGCCACACUGGAACUGAGACACGGUCCAGACUCCUACGGGGAGGCAGCAGUGGGGAAUAUUGCACAAUGGGCGCAAGCCUGAUGCAGCCAUGCCGCGUGUAUGAAGAAGGCCUUCGGGUUGUAAAGUACUUUCAGUCGGGGAGAGGGAGUAAAGUUAAUACCUUUGCUCAUUGACGUUACCCGCAGAAGAGCACCGGCUAACUCCGUGCCA
rnacentral:rRNA from 1 species